AUGAGAAGAACUAUAAAAGGAGAGAAGGAAGUUUGGCUUUUUGAAGAACUCAGGAUGAGCAAGAAGAGGACAGUCCACCAGGCAACAUGCCAAGAAAUCAUUCUAUAUUAUAAACAAAGGACAGGGAAUAUGUUGAUUUGCAUCAUGGAGGGAUUGAUCCAUGGGGGCCCAGACCUUGAAGAAUGUGCAGACAUUUUGUGCCUGAUGACAAACCAACAACAAUGAAUACUGGUUUCAGCUAUAAGGACUCAAGGAUUGUACUAUGGAGAUUAGAUCCACAUGGACCCAGAAUUCAGGAAGCAUCUCAGAGCCACCUUUGGAGACAAAGGAUUGAUUCUCCCCUGACUUGACCCAUUGGAUGCUUUUCUUUCCUGGUGGUAAGUGAGGCAAGAAUGACUGUGAGCCUACAAGUGGAAAGGGCAUCAGUGAGACCUUUCCAAACCCAAUAUGGACCCCACAAUGGUAUGUCGGACUGCAUGGUGAAUCUUGCUUUUGCAAUUCUUCUUUUCUCAUCAACCUGGUUACAAGCUUGGGGGAUCUGAAAAGUAAGAAGCUACUAAGUUUGUUUCAGAGAGUGGCAACAACAGUGGACAAAUGGCUUCCUUGCUCAUCUGAGCUAGUUCUUCCUAAGACUUGCCUACCAUUGGUCCAGGCUCUUGUGGUUUUUGCUACAGACUCUGUUUUCUUUAAAGCCUUAAUUUCUGUCUUAGUAUCAGUUCUAAGAGAGAAAAGCAGCAAGAGCUAGACAAUGGGGGUUAAGUGACUUGCCCAGGGUAAUACAGAUGGGAAGUGUUUGAAGUCAGAUUUGAACCUACAUCUUUGUGACUCCAGGUCUGGCUCUCUAUUCACCAUGCUAUCUAGCUGUCCUAUAAGUAUCUUUUUAUUUAAAAAAAAAAAGCUAAAUAAUGCCAUUUGAUCCAAGGGGAAAUAACACCAGACUCCAGUUCAAGGAGCCAUGACCCCUCAAUGUAAACCCCUAAAACCCUGAGAAAAGCAGAAAUCAGCUGACAUAUGAAGAUCAAACCUUCCAGUGUGAGUGGGGAUGGACGGAGAAUACACAAAAGGGAUGAUGCUACUCCUGAAUUGCACAAUAGGUCAAAGGGAAUGAGCAGAGAUUUCAUAGCAUCCAUGUAACUUCCUACACUUUAACCUUAAAAAUCCAUUUCACAAAUACCAGAUUGGGGUCUCUACUCACCACACUAUGGUGCCUCUUAUGCUUCUGCUCGUAACAAAGUUUAAAACAUAGGCAGGCUCCUGGAAUAAUUCCUCUGGAGGGAGUAAUGAAGCAUACCAAGCUACACUAAGGCAUGAUUUGAAAAGAGAGUCUAGUGGGGGGGAAAUGAGCUCUGUAAUAUGACCCAACUUAAAUAAAAAUGACAUUUAUGUUAACCA
rnacentral:lncRNA from 1 species